rnacentral:tRNA from 1 species
AACAUAGCUCAGAUGGUAGAGCAACUGACUUUUAAUCAGAGGGUCACUGGUUCGAGCCCAGUUGUUC